rnacentral:rRNA from 2 species
AGGUGCGAUCAUACCAGCAGUAAUACAUCAGAUCCCAUCAGAACUCUGCAGUUAAACGUGUUUGGACGAAAAUGGUACUAGAAUGGAUGAUCUCAUGAGAAGUUCUUGUGUUGCACCUC